UCUUAUGAAGUUAGCGGCGGACGGGUGAGUAACACGUGGGUAACCUGCCCAUAAGACUGGGAUAACUCCGGGAAACCGGGGCUAAUACCGGAUAACAUUUUGAACCGCAUGGUUCGAAAUUGAAAGGCGGCUUCGGCUGUCACUUAUGGAUGGACCCGCGUCGCAUUAGCUAGUUGGUGAGGUAACGGCUCACCAAGGCAACGAUGCGUAUCCGACCUGAGAGGGUGAUCGGCCACACUGGGACUGAGACACGGCCCAUACUCCUACGGGAGGCAGCAGUAGGGAAUCUUCCGCAAUGGACGAAAGUCUGACGGAGCAACGCCGCGUGAGUGAUGAAGGCUUUCGGGUCGUAAAACUCUGUUGUUAGGGAAGAACAAGUGCUAGUUGAAUAAGCUGGCACCUUGACGGUACCUAACCAGAAAGCCACGGCUAACUACGUGCCAGCAGCCGCGGUAAUACGUAGGUGGCAAGCGUUAUCCGGAAUUAUUGGGCGUAAAGCGCGCGCAGGUGGUUUCUUAAGUCUGAUGUGAAAGCCCACGGCUCAACCGUGGAGGGUCAUUGGAAACUGGGAGACUUGAGUGCAGAAGAGGAAAGUGGAAUUCCAUGUGUAGCGGUGAAAUGCGUAGAGAUAUGGAGGAACACCAGUGGCGAAGGCGACUUUCUGGUCUGUAACUGACACUGAGGCGCGAAAGCGUGGGGAGCAAACAGGAUUAGAUACCCUGGUAGUCCACGCCGUAAACGAUGAGUGCUAAGUGUUAGAGGGUUUCCGCCCUUUAGUGCUGAAGUUAACGCAUUAAGCACUCCGCCUGGGGAGUACGGCCGCAAGGCUGAAACUCAAAGGAAUUGACGGGGGCCCGCACAAGCGGGUGGAGCAUGUGGUUUAAUUCGAAGCAACGCGAAGAACCYUUACCAUGGUCGUUGACAUCCCUC
rnacentral:rRNA from 1 species